CCUGCCAGUAGUCAUAUGCUUGUCUCAAAGAUUAAGCCAUGCAUGUCUCAGUACAAGCCAAAUUAAGGUGAAACCGCGAAAGGCUCAUUAAAUCAGUUAUGGUUCCUUAGAUCGUACCCACACUUACUUGGAUAACUGUGGUAAUUCUAGAGCUAAUACAUGCUAACAGAGCUCCGACUGUAGAUGGAAGGAGUGCUUUUAUUAGAUCAAAACCAAUCGGUGGCGGGUCACUUGUGGCUCGUUAUCGUACACUUUGGUGACUCUGAAUAACUUUACGCUGAUCGCACGGUCCUAGCACCGGCGACGCAUCUUUCAAAUGUCUGCCUUAUCAACUGUCGAUGGUAGGUUCUGCGCCUACCAUGGUUGUAACGGGUAACGGGGAAUCAGGGUUCGAUUCCGGAGAGGGAGCCUGAGAAACGGCUACCACAUCCAAGGAAGGCAGCAGGCGCGCAAAUUACCCACUCCCGGCACGGGGAGGUAGUGACGAAAAAUAACGAUACGGGACUCAUCCGAGGCCCCGUAAUCGGAAUGAGUACACUCUAAACCCUUUAACGAGGAUCAAUUGGAGGGCAAGUCUGGUGCCAGCAGCCGCGGUAAUUCCAGCUCCAAUAGCGUAUAUUAAAGUUGUUGCGGUUAAAAAGCUCGUAGUCGAAUUUGUGUCUCGCGCCGCUGGUUCAUCGUCCGCGGUGUUAACUGGCGUGUCGCGAGACGUCCUGCCGGUGGGCUCUUGUUUCACGUAUUGUGACACGUUUGAUCAUUCGGUAUCCAAUCCGGAGGUUGACGGCGUUCCGUGCGUGUGAACGGACCCAACUCAAUCCUGCCGCGGUGCUCUUCAUUGAGUGUCGAGGUGGGCCGGCACGUUUACUUUGAACAAAUUAGAGUGCUUAAAGCAGGCUAAAAUUUCGCCUGAAUAUUGUGNGCAUGGAAUAAUGGAAUAGGACCUCGGUUCUAUUUUGUUGGUUUUCGGAACUCCGAGGUAAUGAUUAAUAGGAACGGAUGGGGGCAUUCGUAUUGCGACGUUAGAGGUGAAAUUCUUGGAUCGUCGCAAGACGGACAGAAGCGAAAGCAUUUGCCAAAAACGCUUUCAUUGAUCAAGAACGAAAGUUAGAGGUUCGAGGCGAUCAGAUACCGCCCUAGUUCUAACCAUAAACGAUGCCAGCUAGCGAUCCGUCGACGUUCCUCCGAUGACUCGACGGGCAGCUUCCGGGAAACCAAAGCUUUUGGGUUCCGGGGGAAGUAUGGUUGCAAAGCUGAAACUUAAAGGAAUUGACGGAAGGGCACCACCAGGAGUGGAGCCUGCGGCUUAAUUUGACUCAACACGGGAAACCUCACCAGGCCCGGACACCGGAAGGAUUGACAGAUUGAGAGCUCUUUCUUGAUUCGGUGGGUGGUGGUGCAUGGCCGUUCUUAGUUGGUGGAGCGAUUUGUCUGGUUAAUUCCGAUAACGAACGAGACUCUAGCCUGCUAACUAGGCGUAUUUUGACAUCCUAAAGGCCCGCCGGCUAGAUGUUGUUGCGUGAUUCGCGGUUGUCAUAACCGUGGGUUGCGUGCACUCGGUUGUGCGCGGUUUUUACUGUCGACGUACAAACAAUUCUUCUUAGAGGGACAGGCGGCUUCUAGCCGCACGAGAUUGAGCAAUAACAGGUCUGUGAUGCCCUUAGAUGUUCUGGGCCGCACGCGCGCUACACUGAAGGAAUCAGCGUGUCCUCCCUGGCCGAGUGGCCCGGGUAACCCGCUGAACCUCCUUCGUGCUAGGGAUUGGGGCUUGCAAUUGUUCCCCAUGAACGAGGAAUUCCCAGUAAGCGCGAGUCAUAAGCUCGCGUUGAAUACGUCCCUGCCCUUUGUACACACGGCCC
rnacentral:rRNA from 1 species